AGAGUUCGGGCCGCACGCGCGCUACACUGAUGAAGUCAGCGAGUUUAUAACCUUAGCCGGAAGGUUUGGGUAAACUUUUGAAACUUCAUCGUGCUGGGGAUAGAGCAUUGUAAUUAUUGCUCUUCAACGAGGAAUUCCUAGUAAGCGCAAGUCAUCAGCUUGCGUUGAUUACGUCCCUGCCCUUUGUACACACCGCCCGUCGCUACUACCGAUUGAAUGGUUAUAGUGAGCAUAUGGGAUCAGUAGAAUUAGACUGGCAACAGUCUUUCUCUGCAGAGAACUAUGGCAAACUAGGCUAUUUAGAGGAAGUAAAAGUCGUAACAAGGUUUCCGUAGGUGAACCUGCGGAAGGAUCAUUAAAUAAUCAAUAAUUUUGGCUUGUCCAUCAUUAUCUAUUUACUGUGAACUGUAUUAUUAUUUGACGCUUGAGGGAUGUUCCAAUGCUAUAAGGAUAGGCAAUGGAAAUGUUAACCGAGUCAUAAUCAAGCUUAGGCUUGGUAUCCUAUUAUUAUUUACCAAAAGAAUUCAGAAUUAAUAUUGUAACAUAGACGUAAAAAAUCUAUAAAACAACUUUUAACAACGGAUCUCUUGGUUCUCGCAUCGAUGAAGAACGUAACAAAGUGCGAUAACUAGUGUGAAUUGCAUAUUCAGUGAAUCAUCGAGUCUUUUGAACGCACUUGCGCUCAUGGUAUUCCCAUGAGCACCCCUGUUUUAGUAUCAAACAAACCCUCUAUCCCACUUUUGUUGAAUAGGAUGACUGAAAGUCCCUGGACCUAUUUUGAUCUUGAACCCCUUGAAAGUACAAAGGCCUGAUCUUGUUUGAAUGCCGAACUUUUUUUUAAAAAAAAAAAAACCUCUUGCGAAAAACUGGGCUGGGGCCCCCCAAAAACCC
rnacentral:rRNA from 1 species